CAGCAAGACUUGGUCCUUCUUGCUAUGUCUUUGCAGUAGAACAUUCUAUUUCUGUGACAGAAAAUGAAGUCCCAUUAUGUCAAAACUGUAGAACACAUGGAGCCUUCUGCAGAAGCUUGACGUGUUAUCUGCCAAAAAGAUAUUAAGCAAACCAAAUUCAUCUGGUGUUUUCUAUAAAUGACUCACUAUUAUUGUCUAGCAUCCUCGUCUACCUAAGAGAUUCAGCUGCACUCGGAUACGCUUGCGGCGAGCUCCCUGAAGAGUUUCCCUGUGCUUGGAGGAAGAAGUAACGUCAGUAAAUCAAAAUUUACACCCUGUUGACCUUGGAAAUACAAAGGCAACACAAUAAACCAACAUGAGGUCAUGUUUCCAUUCUGGUUGAGGACAGGGGAACAUUUAAUCCUGAGCAGAGUGAGGGAGACAGGAGGAAAUAAAAUGCAUGCUGACUGAGACGGUACUGUUUUCUCUUGCAGUUUGCUCUGCAAGAUCCAGUUGGGAAAGGAAGAAGCAUUUAUUUCUCUUGCUUUCCACACAUACCUUUGAAGUGUCUUAGCAUCAAAAGAAACACCCAGCCUGAAACUAUAUUUUCUUUACUCAAAACGUGUGGUGUAAGUGAGAAUGGGUAUGAGAGGGGGGAGGUGCAGGGGGAGCUUUGUGGGCACAAAGAAAUAGUCAAGAUAAAAAUCAUGAUAAAAAUCAUAAUUUCCAAGACUUAAGACAGAUGCCUCUGAUUGGG
rnacentral:lncRNA from 1 species